UGAAUCUUCUAGCCUUACAAUUUCUUUGGA
rnacentral:piRNA from 1 species